UACAGGGGGUGCAAACGUUGUCCGGAAUUAUUGGGCGUAAAGAGCGUGUAGGCGGCCCGAUUAGUCCGCUGUGAAAGUCCAGGGCUCAACCCUGGAAUGCCGGUGGAUACUGUCGGGCUAGAGUCCGGAAGGGGCGAGUGGAAUUCCUGGUGUAGCGGUGAAAUGCGCAGAUAUCAGGAGGAACACCAAUGGCGAAGGCAGCUCGCUGGGACGUGACUGACGCUGAGACGCGAAAGCGUGGGGAGCAAACAGG
rnacentral:rRNA from 1 species